rnacentral:rRNA from 1 species
UACGUAGGGAGCAAGCGUUGUCCGGAAUCAUUGGGCGUAAAGCGCGCGUAGGCGGCCCGGUCAGUCCGUCGUGAAAGUCAAAGGCUCAACCUUUGAAUGUCGAUGGAUACUGCCGGGCUAGAGUCCGGAAGAGGCGAGUGGAAUUCCUGGUGUAGCGGUGGAAUGCGCAGAUAUCAGGAGGAACACCAAUGGCGAAGGCAGCUCGCUGGGACGUGACUGACGCUGAGACGCGAAAGCCAGGGGAGCGAACGGG